rnacentral:ncRNA from 1 species
CUAGGGGUGAAAGGCCAAUCAAAUCUGGAAAUAGCUGGUUCUCCGCGAAAGAUAUUUAGGUAUCGCCUCAGACGAAUACCUCGGGGGGUAGAGCACUGGAUGGGCUAGGGGGUCUCACCGACUUACCAAACCUAACCAAACUCCGAAUACCCGAGAGUACUAUCUGGGAGACAGACGGUGGGUGCUAACGUCCAUCGUCAAAAGGGAAACAACCCUAACCUACAGCUAAGGUCCCCAAGUCAUAGUUAAGUGGGAAAGCAUGUGGGAUUACUUAGACAACCAGGAGGUUGGCUUAGAAGCAGCCAUCCUUUAAAGAUAGCGUAACAGCUCACUGGUCAAGUGAUCCUGCGGCGAAGAUGUACCGGGUCUAAAACUAUGCACCGAAGCUUAGGGUUUACACUUAUGUGUAAGCGGUAGCGGAGCGUUCCGUAAGCCUGUGAAGCGGCAUACCUGUGAGGGGCCGUGGAGGUAUCGGAAGUGCGAAUGAUGACAUGAGUAGCGACAAAAAGUGUGAGAGACACUUUCGCCGAAAGUCCAAGGGUUCCUGCGCAAUGCUAAUCAGCGCAGGGUUAGCCGGCCCCUAAGUCGAGGCAGAAAUGCGUAGACGAUGGGAACCACGUUAAUAUUCGUGGGCCUGGUGGUAGUGACGGAUCGCGCAGAGCUGUAUUCCCUUAUCGGAUUGGGAGUGCAGUGAGCCGGUUCCAGGAAAUAGCUCCACCAACAUAGACCGUACCCUAAACCGACACAGGUGGACUGGUAGAGUAUACCAAGGCGCUUGAGAGAACUAUACUGAAGGAACUCGGCAAAUUGCA